AAAUUGAAGAGUUUGAUCAUGGCUCAGAUUGAACGCUGGCGGCAGGCCUAACACAUGCAAGUCGAACGGUAACAGGAAACAGCUUGCUGUUUCGCUGACGAGUGGCGGACGGGUGAGUAAUGUCUGGGAAACUGCCUGAUGGAGGGGGAUAACUACUGGAAACGGUAGCUAAUACCGCAUAACGUCGCAAGACCAAAGAGGGGGACCUUCGGGCCUCUUGCCAUCGGAUGUGCCCAGAUGGGAUUAGCUUGUUGGUGGGGUAACGGCUCACCAAGGCGACGAUC
rnacentral:rRNA from 1 species